AAAGGUGAAACCUAAUUGGCCUGGAGAAGAGCUUGCGUCUGAUUAGCUAGUUGGUGGGGUAAAGGCCUACCAAGGCGACGAUCAGUAGCUGGUCUGAGAGGAUGAGCAGCCACACUGGGACUGAGACACGGCCCAGACUCCUACGGGAGGCAGCAGUGGGGAAUUUUCCGCAAUGGGCGAAAGCCUGACGGAGCAACGUCGCGUGAGGGAGGAAGGUCUUUGGAUUGUAAACCUCUUUUCUCAAGGAAGAAGUUCUGACGGUACUUGAGGAAUCAGCCUCGGCUAACUCCGUGCCAGCAGCCGCGGUAAUACGGGGGAGGCAAGCGUUAUCCGGAAUUAUUGGGCGUAAAGCGUCCGCAGGUGGUCAGCCAAGUCUGCC
rnacentral:rRNA from 1 species